rnacentral:rRNA from 1 species
AUAAAAUUCUUUAUGGUUUAAUAAUUUAUUAUAAAUUUAUUUUACAUAUAAAUUUUAGUGUUAAAUAUUAAUUAUUUAAAUAAUAAUUAUUUAUUUUGUAGUAAUUAAUAUUAAAAUAUUUAAGAAAUUAAGAUUUAGUAAUAUUUAAAUUAAUAACAAAUUUUGUGCCAGCAGUUCGGUUAAACAAAAAUUAAAUUAAAUUUUAUUAGUAAUUAAUUAAUAAAUAUUUUUAUAAUAAAAAUUUUAAAUUAUUAGGUGAAAUUUUAAUUUAAUUAAAUUUUAA